CUACGGGACGCUGCAGUUAAGAAUCUUCUGCAAUGCGCGCAAGCGUGACAGAGCGAGCCAAAGUGCGUUUCAAAUUGAAACGCUUUUUUCAGAUUUAAAAAGUCUGGAGAAUAAGGACUGGGUAAGACGAGUGCCAGCCGCCGCGGUAAUACUCGCGGUCCAAAUCGCAGCCAUUUUUAUUGGGUCUAAAACAUCCGUAGCUUGUUUGGUAAGUUCCUUGUGAAAUUCUAUGUCUCAAGCAUAGAGCGUGCAAGGAGUACUGCCUCACUAGAGACCGGAAGACGUAGGAAGUACAUUCGAAGUAGCGGUAAAAUGUUUUAAUCUCGAGCGGACUCACAAUAGCGAAGGCAUCCUACGAGGACGGUUCUGACAGUAAGGGAUGAAGGCUAGGGGCGCAAAACGGAUUAGAUACCCGCGUAGUC
rnacentral:rRNA from 1 species